rnacentral:misc_RNA from 1 species
UAAAAGUAUGAUAUUUUUAUGUUAUAUACAUAUAUAGAAUAUGGAGCCUCACUUCAAAAGGUUUUUACAUUGCCUCUUGCCUUAGGCCAUAGGAUAUCUUGUCACCUUAGUAUCGCUUCUCGCCUUAAUAACUUUGUUUAUAUUAUUUUAGGAAACCGGCUAAUCUUUUGUAAGACUUAUCAUUGUAAAUCUAGCAAAAAUUGCGACACUAAUGUGUUGUAUAGCGAUUUGUGAAAUGGGGUGUUAGUUGUCUUGUAAUGUUGCAUUCACUGAUCUGGUAUUGGACAAAGCCCCUGAUUUAUUGAAAAUGAGCAUAUAGCUUCAAUUAAUUGUCCACCACGAUUUUUGGCUUAUUGAAAGUCACUUGUGGAUGAUUAAUUGAUAUAUUGGUGGUUUUGCAUUCAUGCAUGUAUAUUGGUGAUGCACACAAUAGUACACCUGCAGUAUAAAUUUGCACUAGCAUUGAGAUUGUUGAUGUGCCCCUCCUCCCUCUUCUCCCCUUUUUCUUUUUAUACUUGUUAUUUAUUUAUGUUUUUUUGCAGUUAAGCUGAAUGCAAAUAGGAUGG